GUUCUUACUUGGGCAGCACAUAUGCUAAAAUUGGAAUGUUACAGACAAGAUUAGCCUGGCCCCUGUGUAAGGAUAACACAUAAAUACCUGAAGCAUUCCGUAUUUUU
ensembl:snRNA U6 U6 spliceosomal RNA